rnacentral:tRNA from 1 species
GCUCCCGUAGCUCAGCCUGGAUAGAGUGACGGACUUCUAAUCCGUAGGUCGCAGGUUCAAAUCCUGUCGGGAGCG